AGUUGGUGAGGUAACGGCCCACCAAGGCAACGAUCGGUAGCCGGACUGAGAGGUUGAACGGCCACAUUGGGACUGAGACACGGCCCAGACUCCUACGGGAGGCAGCAGUGGGGGAUAUUGCGCAAUGGGGGAAACCCUGACGCAGCAACGCCGCGUGAAGGACGAAGGUUUUCGGAUUGUAAACUUCUUUUGUCAGGGACGAAGAAAUGACGGUACCUGACGAAUAAGCUCCGGCUAACUAC
rnacentral:rRNA from 1 species